UACGAAGGGGGCUAGCGUUGCUCGGAAUCACUGGGCGUAAAGGGUGCGUAGGCGGGUUUUUAAGUCAGAGGUGAAAUCCUGGAGCUCAACUCCAGAACUGCCUUUGAUACUGAAAGUCUUGAGUAUGGGAGAGGUGAGUGGAACUGCGAGUGUAGAGGUGAAAUUCGUAGAUAUUCGCAAGAACACCGGUGGCGAAGGCGGCCUUCUGGACAGUAACUGACGCUGAGACGCGAAAGCGUGGGGAGCAAACAGG
rnacentral:rRNA from 1 species